rnacentral:misc_RNA from 1 species
GACAAAUGAAGAGAGAAUAAUCCAGGAAACAGGGUUAUAUCCAAAGUUCUUGGAUAGCUAGAAUGAUGGCUUCAGGCCUUCAGCAACAUCAGAUUCUGAUAAUGUUUAAUGAUAAUCAGAACAACUUGUCUAUAUGGUCCAAAAAAUAAAAAUUGAAAAACGAAAUAGUAUCAAGAAUGUGAAAACAUCUGAGCUGCCCAUCCAUAAAUCUGUCAAAUUCUUCUGUUUAUUAAUGUUUUUGAGUGUUUACCUUGAAUUUUCUAAUUAUACAUAAUCAGAGAUUAAGAUAACAUUAUUUUAUAACUAGUUUGAUCCAUGAGUCUGCUGCCACUCUACUAUUGCUAGAGUAUGCCGUCCCCCACAAGCAACAAGUUUAGCAAUCCAGUGUCCCUCAGCUUCAUUGCUACCAAGAUUUCUGGGAGGUGGGAUGUCAAUUGGCACUUCCAGUGGUUGACCAGUUGUCACCUUCCUCCCAUAUCCCAGUCGUCCGUGGUCACCUCGACCAAACUGCCAGCAAAACCAGUUGGCAUAUAUAAAUAUUUGAAAAGGAUUACAAAAGCAAACAUCUAUAUCUGAAUAAGGCAUUCAUCAAACUGACCAUAACUGCCUCAACUGAACCAAAAUUCAUGGUUUAUCAAUUUAAUUGGUUGAUUUAGUUUGCAACAUUAUUAAACCAACUUAUUUGGAUUGGUUCUCAGCACUCCUCCAAAAAUCCUAGAAACCAAACCAAAACAACCACUCAACAUUGUCAUAAUAAAUAUGUUAUAUAACUUUAAAACAUAAAUGAACUUUAAAUUAAUAAUUGCCAAGGCCUUGAUAAGUAACUAAGCUAUGCAAGAGGCUUUGUCUCAGCCCAUAGGUGUAAGAUAGUGAGGAGAGCAGCAUUCUCUUUUAUGAGAUGAGAUUCCUCCCGUGUUAUUCUCCUGAUGUCAGAUAGCACACCAUAAUUGAACUGAUGUGGAAUGCAAUCCCAUUGUUUUUUUGAAGCUGACAGAUAAGACUUCCCUGUAAAAGGGAGAUCUAGCCCCCCUUAUUUCCCAUCUGGCUUGGGCCUUUGCCUAACAGAUGAUCUUUUGCCCCUGUGAGCCAUAUGCAGUUAUGCAGCCUAAAUGACUUGCUGGUUUUGUUGAUUUUUAAACCAACUUGUUACUGAACUCUUUAACCCAAAGCUGUUAGUUUCUAAUCCUCGGUGAUGGUUGAGAAUAUUACUCACUUGAAAAGGAGAGCUCAGUUCAACAUUAUGCCUUGAGACUGAACUGACCAAUCCAUUUAAACAUAGUAUACAGAGCCACAGCAAUAAUUCCAUCUAUGAAAGGUGAACGCUAAAAAUAAAAGAUUAGGCUAAAUCCACUGUACAUGUAUAAGUGAUCGGGGCCACCAUCUUUUCUUUUCAGCUGGACCAGGUACAGUCAGGUUAUUAGCUUAGUGAGUUGGAUAUUAAUUAUCUUUAUAAUUUCAAUAUCAUUUAUAUUUUUCUAGCAUGUUCUUGAAUUUACUUGUAUGUAUAUAUAAGUAGUUAUUAUAUUAGAAGCAUCCUCUAAUUGUUGAAUUAUAAUUUUCUAUGUUGUGCUACCUUAGGAAUAAAUUAGAGCUUAUAUAUAUGUAUUAUGGAUGUAGAAUUCCUAGCUAGGUACAGCAUGAGAAAUUCACUGACUUCCAUGAAUAUGGAUAUAGAUGGUCGAGGUAGGUACGUGCCUUAUAUUAUCGCUGACUCUCAUCACCUGUGGGGUAGGUAUGUGCGUUAUAUUAUCGUUGACUCUCACAACAGGGAAUAAGAGAGACUGGAAUAAGAGAAGCUAUUGGAUUUUAGAGAACCAAGAUUUGGGGUUGGCUCCCAAUAUGUAUUAGGUGUAUGUGUAUAACUCUAAUUUAUCCUCUCAUGUAAGGAUUGAGUGAUUUGUUUGUUUGGUGCUUUCUUAUUUAUAAGGCUGCAUUAAAAAUAGAUAGUUAUAGAAUUAUAACUAUAAUCAAUAUCUAAAUUCUUUGAGCGAACACUCAUUUCUAUUCAAUAUUUUUUCACUGGUUGCAGGGGGAGCAUUUUAAUUCAAAGUCUAAUCUGUAUUUUUCUUUGUUGGGUAUUAAAUUGUGUAGUUAAUAUGUGCAGUUUGUUUUUUUAAUUUAUUUUAUUGUAUUCUUAUAACUCCACAUGUAUGUGUAUAAUUGUAAUAAUUGUUAAUAAUGUUUGGUAUUAAAUGGAUUAAAUAUGUUGGCUUUAAGGUUGAACUGGGCUCUCUUAAUUGUGUAUUUAUGAUGGAUAAUAGGGGUGAGUUGGCUCAAAUUGAAUUAUAAUAUUUUAAUUUAUCUUAAUUUUUUCUAUAUGUUGGGGUCUAAAUGUGGGCCUAGCUAUAGGUUUGAGAAUAAUGAGGCUUACUAUUAGUUUCAAGGCCGCAAUAGUCCUAGUAUUAGUCCGAACUCAUAGAGUUGGGUCAUGACACCCACUACCAAUCCAUGGCUUGCCAUGUAAUUAUGCUUUUUACUAACUAAUGAAAGUGUUUUUUUUUUUUUAGAA